AGUGAACGCUGGCGGUAGGCCUAACACAUGCAAGUCGAACGGCAGCACAGUAAGAGCUUGCUCUUACGGGUGGCGAGUGGCGGACGGGUGAGGAAUACAUCGGAAUCUACUUUUUCGUGGGGGAUAACGUAGGGAAACUUACGCUAAUACCGCAUACGACCUACGGGUGAAAGCAGGGGAUCUUCGGACCUUGCGCGAUUGAAUGAGCCGAUGUCGGAUUAGCUAGUUGGCGGGGUAAAGGCCCACCAAGGCGACGAUCCGUAGCUGGUCUGAGAGGAUGGAUAGGCCAACCGGAAACUGGAACCCGGCCCAGACCCCUACGGGAGGCACGAGUGGGGAAAUUUGGAAAAUGGGGGAAAGCCUGACCCCACCAUCCCGGGGGGGGAAAGAAGGCCUGCGGGUUGAAAAGCCCUUUUGUUGGGAAAAAAAACCAGCAGGUUAAUACCCCGCUGUUCGGCCGGGACCCAAAAAAAAAGCACCGGCAACUUUCGU
rnacentral:rRNA from 1 species